rnacentral:rRNA from 1 species
UACGUAGGGUGCAAGCGUUGUCCGGAAUUAUUGGGCGUAAAGGGCUCGUAGGCGGUCCAUCGCGUCGGGAGUGAAAAGCUGGGGCUUAACCCCAGUCCUGCUUCCGAUACGGGUGGACUAGAGGUAGGUAGGGGAGAACGGAAUUCCUGGUGUAGCGGUGAAAUGCGCAGAUAUCAGGAGGAACACCGGUGGCGAAGGCGGUUCUCUGGGCCAUAACUGACGCUGAGAAGCGAAAGCAUGGGGAGCGAACAGG